rnacentral:misc_RNA from 1 species
GGGGAUCAAUUUACCGUUCCAUCAUAUUCAAAGGUAUCUUUGUUUCAGCAGCCAACCAAUCAAGAUAGUGAUGAGGAGCUGGAAUAUGCAGAUAAUAGCAGUGGCAUUGUAGAAUUUGCAGAUACAACAGACAAGUCAAAUAGUGCACUGAUGUCCAAAUCGCUGGAAAUGCAAGGCUGGCCUGCAUCUGAGCUAGGCAAGGGAGGUCUAGGACAUGUUUGGUCAAUUUGUGAAGGAAGUGUUGAAGAAGAAUGGAGGCACUCAGUUGCACCCAUUCCUGCCGAUAAACUUGAGAAGGUUCUGCAUAAAGCAACAGAUGAUGAGCUGGAGUCAACUCAAGAUGCUAAUAUUUUACCACCUUCAGGGGAGUUGAAGUCCGACUCAUACGUCUCAGAU